rnacentral:tRNA from 1 species
GGGAUUGUGGCUCAGUGGUAGAGUGCUUGCCUAGCAUGCAUGAGGCACUGGGUUUGAUCCUAGCACCACCU